UAUCUCUGUAGAGUCUGCAUAUCAAUAAGCGGAGGAAAAGAAACUAACAAGGAUUCCCUUAGUAACGGCGAGUGAAGCGGGAAGAGCUCAAAUUUGAAAUCUUCAAGGUUCUACCUUGACGAAUUGUAGUUUAAAGAAGUGUUUUCUGUUAGAUGAGUAACAAAAGUUCCUUGGAAUGGGACAUCAUAGAGGGUGAGAAUCCCGUAUUUGGUUAUUCAUUCUAGCUUUGUGAUACACUUUCAAAGAGUCGGAUUGUUUGGGAAUGCAGUCCAAAAUGGGUGGUAAAUUUCAUCUAAAGCUAAAUAUUGGCGAGAGACCGAUAGCGAACAAGUACCGUGAGGGAAAGAUGAAAAGAACUUUGAAAAGAGAGUUAAACAGUACGUGAAAUUGUCAAAAGGGAAGCGUUUGACACCAGUGUUGUUUUUCCGAAAAUCAAUUACGAAUGGCUUGAUUUUGUGUUGUAUUGACCUUAUCAGCUUUCUUCACUUUUUUCGAGUCUUUCUUAAUGCACUUUUCGGUUAACAAGUCAACAUCAAUUUCUUUUGUUGUAAAAGAGUAUUCGGAAGGUGGCUUUCUUUUCGGAGAAAGUGUUUAUAGCCCUAUACUUCUACAAUCGGAGAGAUUGAGGUCUGCAGCGUAGAUCCUUCGGGGUUAGAUACAUUUGUGCUAAGUUGUAGCUUUUCAUAGACAACUUGUUGACUAUGUUUAGUCAUGCGGCUUACUCGCUUAUGCUAUUUUACCUACGCUUAGGAUGUUGACUGAUAUGUAGUCGU
rnacentral:rRNA from 1 species